UUCAUUCAUGGGGUGACACCAUCGAUAUCCACACUGGGUGUCAUCCAUGCUAGCUACGCCACUGAUAUGACUUGUAACCUAUUUUACAAGAUCACAUAAAUGUGAUUAAGAAUGAAGUAUAAAAUAUGCAGGCAAAUAUAUUUGUCCCUAAGUAACAUAGGUGGAUCAUUCACAAAACCUUAUAUAAGUCAAAACAUGCAUGCAUUGGAGCAUACUUUAUACAAUACUAAUGUGUCACAAUCAGUGGCUAUCAAAGAGAGGGCAAGUGGGGCAGCUGCCCUGGGCCUCAUGAUUUUAGGGAUCUCAAUUUAUAACUCAAUAUCUUAGAAAAAAU
rnacentral:lncRNA from 1 species